rnacentral:rRNA from 1 species
UACGUAGGGGGCGAGCGUUGUCCGGAUUUAUUGGGCGUAAAGAGCGUGUAGGCGGCCAGGUAGGUCUGCUGUGAAAACUCGAGGCUUAACCUCGAGCUGUCGGCGGAAACCAUCUGGCUAGAGUCCGGAAGAGGAGAAUGGAAUUCCCGGUGUAGCGGUGAAAUGCGCAGAUAUCGGGAAGAACACCAGUGGCGAAGGCGGCUAUCUGGACGGUUUCUGACGCUAAGACGCGAAAGCGUGGGGAGCAAACAGG